GGGACUGCACCCACCCCUGCAGCUGCUAUAGGGAGAUGGGUGAGCAGCAGGAGGCUGGGAUGGAGAGGAGAUAAUACCGGGGAGUGGAACCAGGGGAGGUUUUUAUCUCAGCUGUUUGUUUUACCAGCCUUUGGUUUGGGCUACGAAUGCUCUUCUGGCUCAUAAAUUCCUGGGAACAAAUCAAAAAAGAUUGGUUCAGUGUGGUGCUCAGACCCAAAAGCCCCUUCCUGCCUAAAGUGUCAAGUCAUCCAAUUAUACAUCCAAUUAUGCAGGCAUCCAAUUAUCCAUCCAUCCAUCCAUCAUCCAUCCAUCCAUCAUCCAUCCAUCCAUCAUCCAUCCAUCCAUCAUCCAUCCAUCCAUCAUCCAUCCAUCCAUCAUCCAUCCAUCCAUCAUCCAUCCAUCCAUCAUCCAUCCAUCCAUCCAUCCAUCAUCCAUCCAUCCAUCCAUCCAUCCAUCCAUCAUCCCUCCAUCCUGGCCUGGAUGUCUCCAGCCUUCUCUCUGCCCCCUGCCUGUGCCCCCAGUUGCUCCCCAGCUCUGCUGCCCCGUUCCCAGUGCAGC
rnacentral:lncRNA from 12 species